rnacentral:rRNA from 1 species
GAUGAAUGCUGGCGGCGUGCCUAACACAUGCAAGUCGAGCGGCAGCGCGAGUAGUUUACUACUUGGCGGCGAGCGGCGGACGGCUGAGUAACGCGUGGGAACAUGCCCCAAAGUGAGGAAUAAGCUCCAGAAAUGGAGUCUAAUGCCGCAUAUGAUCUUCGGAUUAAAGGAUUUAUCCGCUUUGGGAGUGGCCUGCGUAC